GACGAACGCUGGCGGCGUGCCUAACACAUGCAAGUCGAACGAAGCAUAGCAAUAUGCUUAGUGGCGGACGGGUGAGUAACGCGUGAACAAUCUGCCCUGUACAAAGGAAUAGCCUCGGGAAACCGGGAUUAAAACCGUAUGACACUUUAGUAUCGCAUGAUAAGAAAGUCAAAUCGAAUAGAGGUAUGGGAUGAGUUCGCGUCUGAUUAGCUGGUUGGCGGGGUAACGGCCCACCAAGGCGACGAUCAGUAGCCGGCCUGAGAGGGUGAACGGCCACACUGGAACUGAGACACGGUCCAGACUCCUACGGGAGGCAGCAGUGGGGAAUAUUGCACAAUGGAGGGAACUCUGAUGCAGCGACGCCGCGUGAAGGACGAAGGUUUUCGGAUCGUAAAGCUCUGUCGAGCGGGAAGAAAUGUAUCAUGGCUAAUAUCCAUGAUACUUGACGGUACCGCUAAAGGAAGCACCGGCUAACUCCGUGCCCAGCACGCCGUAC
rnacentral:rRNA from 1 species